rfam:Gossypium raimondii Chr10_contig_574, whole genome shotgun sequence.
AAUUUAUGCAUCGAACAUUUUCGAUUUAAGUCCUUAAAUUGUUCCCAAGCUUCAUAUAGUGUUUCAUCCUCCAAUUGUUGAAAAAAUAUAAUAUCAUUUCUCAACUU